GGUCCCGCCUGCCCUGUGACAUUAGUUUAACGGCCGCGGUAUACUAACCGUGCAAAGGUAGCGUAAUAACUUGCCUUUUAAAUGAAGGCCUGUAUGAAUGGCAUCACGAGGGCCCAACUGUCUCCUUUCCCUAAUCAAUGAAACUGACCUACUCGUGCAGAGGCGGGUAUGGCACUAUUAGACGAGAAGACCCUGUGGAGCUUACAGACAAUAGAGCAAAUGUAGUUAACAACCUCCAUUUAAAAGAAUUAACCAUACUUACCUGCUCGAAUGUCUUUGGUUGGGGCGACCAUGGAGUAACACUUAACCCCCAAGAAGAAUGGUAAUUAUUACUUUAAAUAAGAGGGCCCCCUCUGCUUAUCAGAAAAUCUGCCCACCAGAUCCGGCAAGCCGAUCAACGGACCUAGUUACCCCAGGGAUAACAGCGCAAUCCCCCUUAAGAGCCCCUAUCGCCAGGGGGGUUUACGACCUCGAUGUUGGAUCAGGGCCUCCUAAUGGUGCAGCCGCUAUUAAGGGUUC
rnacentral:rRNA from 1 species